rnacentral:lncRNA from 1 species
AGGCAGCCGAACCAGUUGAGGCCUCAGGGCCAAGAAAUCUGAGAAGCAGAAAAAACCCUAAGGUGCCACAUUUGGUUUCUUCCCCUCAGGGUCUUUGUCUGCCACACCACAGGUCUCUGAGAACCAAAUGAGGUUGCGAGCAGUCUGUUGCUGUUGUGCUGGCAGGGGACAGAUGGUGCUGGCUAUCAAACCCAGGACCUCACACAUGCUAUUUAAGGCUUGUAGAGAUGCUUAGAGAAGAUGAGCAGCAGGAAAGGCCAAAUGUAUUCAGGAAACUCAAAGCCAGAGAAAAAGAGCAGGCAGAGAAAGGAGAGGAUGAUGUACACCUGGGGUGGAAGCGCCUGCGAGUGGGCAGGACACCGAAGCCUCAACGCUGAACAGCACUGUUUAAAGCCCAUACUACAAAACCUGGAUUUUAUCAGUUAAAGAGGUUUUAAGCACGAUCAUGAUGGAAUCAAUUCGAUAUAACGGAAAAUCUUGGAUCAGAAUAUAUUGUGUGAGAAAGAAAUUAUUUUUAGUUAAAAAAAAAAACCUUGGAGAAACUACAUGGCUCAGAAGAUGGAGGUCUUGAACCAAGAUGGCAGAGGUGAAAGGCGAGACUGGACGGAGGAGAUAUGGAGAAUGGCUCAAUGAAAGGAACAUCUGUGUCGACAAAUAUUUAUCAAAGGCCUGGAAGUGUUGUUAUUGUGGUU